CUUUUCUUAUGGCUUCAGGGUGAAUGCUGCUCCAAAACACAAGAGGGAGGACGUACAUCUUCCCUGUUUAGACUGGCCACAGACUGAACUGUGAACACCGUGUGCGUUGAAGACAAGACUCACUCUGUUGCAGCAUGAUCCAGCAGGCAACUUGAGGAUGGACCACAUUUCCUUUCUUCACACUCUUGCAAUGGUCUUGCGGGUGAAGAGAACCUCAUUCAACACUGCCCACAAGCAGCAUGGAAGAUUCAUGCCAUACAGGAGCAUACAAGAUUUGUGCAAAGGAGAGACACGCAUUCGGAAGUCUUUCUUCAGACCCCCUCAUCCCCAACAUUUUGGCUCAGCAAUGCAGUCCCCUUGGUGGAGAGGAGCUGGG
rnacentral:lncRNA from 1 species